AUGGCGGGCGGCGGUCCUCGUGCUCGUCGUCGCCGUCCUCGGAGCGGUCAUGGCGGGCGGCGGCGGCACAUCCUCGCCCCGCUCUCCUCACCGCCUGCCCCAACGCCAAGCGGCGGCGGCAUCCUCGGGACCUGGCGGCGCGGAUCUGGAGCGUCCUCGCCGUCCUCCUCAACGACGGCGGCGGUGGUGGCGCGUCCUCGCCCGCCCUCACCGGUGACAGUGGCGCGGAUUGGAGCUGGAGCCGGAGUCGUCGGAGUGGAAGGAGUUCCUGCUCGGGAAUCAAGGUCGGCCUUCUGCACGGCGCGCGUUCUCGUCCUCGCAUCUCUGAUCGCGGCUAAAAACGCAGUUAGCGAGCGGAGCGUAAAGGUGGGUGUGCCUCGCUUCCGUGCAGCGAGCGCCGUCCGCCGCCGAGGCGUCGGCUGCGCGGUUGCGUGGCGCCGUCGCGCCUCGCGUUCUGGAAGACGUGAGCUGUGGCAUGCUGGCAAUCGCCCGCUAUCCGUGGUAACCCCAUUUCAUUGGUAAUCUGGGCUUA
rnacentral:lncRNA from 1 species